rnacentral:rRNA from 1 species
GUACACUCCUACGGGAGGCAGCAGUGGGGAAUUUUGGACAAUGGGCGAAAGCCUGAUCCAGCCAUGCCGCGUGCAGGAUGAAGGCCUUCGGGUUGUAAACUGCUUUUGUACGGAACGAAACGGCCUUUUCUAAUAAAGAGGGCUAAUGACGGUACCGUAAGAAUAAGCACCGGCUAACUACGUGCCAGCAGCCGCGGUAAUACGUAGGGUGCAAGCGUUAAUCGGAAUUACUGGGCGUAAAGCGUGCGCAGGCGGUUAUGUAAGACAGUUGUGAAAUCCCCGGGCUCAACCUGGGAACUGCAUCUGUGACUGCAUAGCUAGAGUACGGUAGAGGGGGAUGGAAUUCCGCGUGUAGCAGUGAAAUGCGUAGAUAUGCGGAGGAACACCGAUGGCGAAGGCAAUCCCCUGGACCUGUACUGACGCUCAUGCACGAAAGCGUGGGGAGCAAACAGGAUUAGAAACCCCUGUAGUCCC